AGGAGUUAUCUCCUAAUCAAAAUGAGAAGACGGGUUUGCUUACUACGUCAGAGACAACAUUUUCAUUUCCUAGUGCUGGUUACAUUUUGGCCGUCUACUAUUAUAACCGAGAUCAUUGAGUCUUCUUUGCAAUGUUCUGGUGGACAUUUGAAUUCCAGAGGCUUGUAAUUUAUUUUUUAUGAAAGAAUUAGUAGCAGUCCUAAACUCCUUUAUUACUUUCGACAAUGUUUUUUCACCACGAGGAGUCAAAAUUUUUUUUUUACCACAUUUAUCUUUUCUUUUCGGUGAACAGUUAUCACCCAAUCCAGUUUUUUGACAACUCUCUGUACUGAGGUAUGUGAAAUACCACAUUUUUUAGCAAUUUCACGCUGUGAAAGUGUUUUUUCAUUUAUCAAUGCUUUUAUAAAUCCAAUUUUUGUUGGUGAAAGAUCUCCUUUUUUACCCAUUACUAAAAAAUACAAGAUUUUUGAGGUUAGAGUUGUAACAUUAUCAAAA